AAAUUGCCGAAAAAUUAGACUUCCCAAACUAGGAAAAAAUGCGUAUUAUACGCACCCUUAAAUCAGCGAUGCUGAGAAAAGGUUUGAAAGUACGGCUUGCCGUACUUUUUAUUUGGGAAAUUCUCGGGUUAAAUUUGCAACA
rnacentral:ncRNA from 1 species